UAAUGUAUGGGGAUCUGCCCGAUAGAGGGGGAUAACUACUGGAAACGGUGGCUAAUACCGCAUAAUGUCUACGGACCAAAGCAGGGGCUCUUCGGACCUUGCACUAUCGGAUGAACCCAUAUGGGAUUAGCUAGUAGGUGGGGUAAAGGCUCACCUAGGCGACGAUCUCUAGCUAGUCUGAGAGGAUGAUCAGCCACACUGGGACUGAGACACGGCCCAG
rnacentral:rRNA from 1 species